GAGACUCUGAGAGUUCAUUUAGCAGAAAAGGGGGAUGGAGCUGAGCUCACAUGGGAUAAGGAUGACCCAUAUGCAAUGGAUUUUGUUACCUCUGCUACAAACCUCAGGAUGCAUAUUUUCAGUAUGAAUAUGAAGAGUAGAUUUGAUAUCAAAUCAGUGGCAGGGAAUAUUAUUCCUGCUAUUGCUACUACUAAUGCAGUGAUUGCUGGGUUGACAGUAUUGGAAAGAUUGAAGAUCUUAUCAGGAAAAAUAGACCACUGCAGAACAAUUGUUUUGAAUAAACAAGCAAAUCCAAGAAAGAAGUUUCUUGUGCCUUGUGCACUGGAUCCUCCCAACCCCAAUUGUUACAUAUGUGCCAGCAAGCCAGGUGACUGUACGGCUGAAUGUCCAUAAAGUGACUGUUCUCACCUUACGAGACAAGGUAGUGAAACAAAAAUUUGCUAUGGUAGCACCAGAUGUCCAAAUUGAAGAUGGGAAAGGAACAAUCCUAAUAUCUUCUGAAAAGGGAGAGACAGAAGCUAAUAAUCACAAGAAGUUGUCAGAAUUUGGAAUGAGAAAUUGCAGCUGGCUUCAAGCAGAUUACUUCCUCCAGGACUAUACUUUAUUGAUCAACAUCCUUCAUAGUGAAGACCUAGGAAAGGAUGUUGAAUUUGAAGUGUUGGUGAUGCCCCAGAAAAAGUGGGGCCAAAACAAGCUGAAGAUGCUGCCAAAAGCAUAACCAAUGGCAGUAAUGAUGGAGGUCAGCCUUCCACCUCCACAGCUCAAGAGCAAGAUGAUGUUCUCACAGUUGAUUCGGAUGAAGAAGAUUCUUCAAAGAAUGCUGACGUCAGUGAAGAAGAGAGAAGCCGCAAGAGGAAAUCAGACGAGAAAGAGAAUCUCAGUGCAAAGAGGUCACGUAUAGAACAGAAGGAAGAGCUGGAUGAUGUCAUAGCAUUAG
rnacentral:lncRNA from 1 species